AGUGAACGCUGGCGGUAGGCCUAACACAUGCAAGUCGAACGGCAGCACAGUAAGAGCUUGCUCUUACGGGUGGCGAGUGGCGGACGGGUGAGGAAUACAUCGGAAUCUACUUUUUCGUGGGGGAUAACGUAGGGAAACUUACGCUAAUACCGCAUACGACCUACGGGUGAAAGCAGGGGAUCUUCGGACCUUGCGCGAUCGAAUGAGCCGAUGUCGGAUUAGCUUGUUGGCGGGGUAAAGGCCCACCAAGGCGACGAUCCGUAGCUGGUCUGAGAGGAUGAACAGCCACACUGGAACUGAGACACGGUCCAGACUCCUACGGGAGGCAGCAGUGGGGAAUAUUGGACGAUGGGCGCAAGCCUGAUCCAGCCAUACCGCGUAGGUGAAGAAGGCCUUCGGGUUGUAAAGCCCUUUUGUUGGGAAAGAAAAGCAGCAGGUUAAUACCCCGCUGUUCUGACGGUACCCAAAGAAUAAGCACCGGCUAACUUCGUG
rnacentral:rRNA from 1 species